rnacentral:tRNA from 1 species
GGAGGUGUAGCUCAAAUAGUAAAGUGCUUGCCUGGCUUGUGCAAGGACUUGGGUUCAAACCCCAGCCACCUUCC